rnacentral:rRNA from 1 species
AUGUUGGUGUAUAUCGCUCCAUCUACUACACCUCGCACCCGCCUCCCCUUGGCGCCUGGUGCUUGUUUGGAUGCGACAUCGUCUUCUCAACCAGCUUCUGCAGAAGAUAUUGUUCAUGCUACACCGCCUCAUCUAGCGGCUUCCACGGGUGGUGGUGGCUGCUCCUCUGUCGGUGCUGCUACGUUGACUAUUUCAACCGUGUCCUUCACUGAGCAUGAGAUUGUGCGACUUUGCGGCCUGCUGAUUGCCUCCGGCUCUCCAUUGCAGGGUGCAUCUACUUCGACCUCUUCAGGUGAGUAG